CUGACGUCGGACGCUGAACCGACUGCGCCACCCAGGCGCCCCCUGGAUCCUCUUUUGAAUCUGUACAAUGGGAGAGAGUCAAUUACCAAUGAGAGGCAAGAAUUGGAAAGGAAAAUCAAUCCUACAAUCAAGCAACCUCAGCUUUCAAAGGCUAUGCCCCAGGGCUAUUCUCCUAAAGGCCAGUGGCUUCAGUGAGAAGUUCCUGGAACAGCUAGCUAGCCCUCUGAUGUUUAUACAUUGUCUCAUUUAAUAUUCUCAGCGACCCCUGAGGUGGGUACUAUUCCCCAUAUUGACAACCGGAGAAACCAGAAUCAGACAUGGAACUCUUGCCCAGCUGAUUAAUGCAUUUGGAGCCCAGUCUCACAUCAGUAUCUGCUGGCUGACGAUCCGUCAACACUGUCCGACCCUCCGAACCUCUGUGUGCACGAAAGCAGUACAACUUCCUCUGCCCACUCUAAACACUGCUGAAAACAAGCACUACUCUUUGUUUGCUUGAUGAGGCAACAAACCCAGAAAGGCACCCUCAGACCCAUAUACCCGAUUAGACCUAAAAGCCCUUCAGAAAAACUGGACGUAGUGUCAGCUGGUUCCAGCAGAGAAUUCACGGCACUUCCAUACUCUCUGAGAUUCCAACACCUGCCUUUCUAAACGGCUUUAUUUUUCUCUAUAGCAAGAAUAACUGCCUGACUUUUA